GACGAACGCUGGCGGCGUGCCUAAUACAUGCAAGUAGGACGCAGUUGCGAACGGGUGAGUAACGAGUAGGUCACUAACUAUUAGAGGGGGAUAACUACUGGAAACGAUAGCUAAUACAGCAUACAAGUAGAUGGAACUGUGUUGUAUUAGCUAGUAGGUAGGGUAAUGGGCUACCUAGGCAACGAUACAUUGCCGACUUGGGAGGGUGAUCGGACAAACUGGGAACGAUACCAUGCCCAGACUCCCACCGGAGGCAGCAGUAGGGAAUCUUAGGCCAUGGGGGGAACCCUUGCCGAGCAACGCCGCGUGAGUGAAGAAGGUUUUCGGAUCGGAAAGCUCUGUUGUUAAGGAAGCGGUACUUACCCAGAAAGGGCCGGCUAACUACGUGCCAGCAGCCGCGGUAAUAC
rnacentral:rRNA from 1 species